GACGAACGCUGGCGGCGUGCUUAACACAUGCAAGUCGAACGUAGUGGCGAACGGGUGAGUAACACGUGGGUGAUCUGCCUUGCACUUCGGGAUAAGCUUGGGAAACUGGGUCUAAUACCGGAUAGUGCAAGAUGAGCUCGCGGCCUAUCAGCUGGUUGGUGGGGUAAUGGCCUACCAAGGCGUCGACGGGUAGCCGGCCUGAGAGGGUGUAAGGCCACAUUGGGACUGAGGUAGGGGCCAGACUGCUACUGCAGGCAGCAGUGGGAAAUAGUGCGCAAUGGGCGGAGGCCUGAUGCAGGGACGCCGCGUGGGGGAGGAAGGCCUUCGGGUUUGAAACGCCUUUCGACAGGGACGCGGUACCUGUAUAAGAAGCACCGGCUAACUACGUGCCAGCAGCCGCGGUAAUUC
rnacentral:rRNA from 1 species